AAGACUAUAACUGCUGAUAUGGACUUUUAAACCUUUAUCGGCCUUGGGGCUCUCUAUUGAGAUAAAUUUUAUGAUUACAUUACAAGUCUAAUAGAAACCGACUAAAAAUGUCGAUCAAGCUGAAUGAUGAUGGUUACUCUGUUGAGACUUUAUCUUCAAACUGACAACUUAGCAAGGCUUCUUAGGCGGUCUGAGAAGUACUUCAAGCUGUUGCAGUCAGCCUCACUUUGGGUUUGGGAAGACACUGAUGCUCGCAUGUCAUGGAAUCUUCAACAGCAUAUAUUUACAAAAUUCAUCUACAACAACAUAUAUAAAAUAAAACCCUCUCUCUCUCAUAAGGGGAUAAUUCAAUUGGUUUGGUGGUUAUUUAUGAUUAUUGUCUCCUUGAUCAAUCACAUAAUAAGAACGAGACCCUUCCCGGAGGUUGGAGUCUCAGUUCGCCCCACCUGUGUUUCGAGAAACAGGCUUAUAAGCUGUUGGAAUCAGGAUAAGGUCGUUUUUUCUUCCAACGGUUACACCAAAGGCUUCAGUCAUAUCAAGAUCCUUGUUGUCUGUUCCAUCUGCCAGUUUCCAGUCAAAAUGGUAGAGUAAAGAUGCCAAUGGAAGCUCAACAUUUGCUAAUCCGUAUGAAAUCCCAGGACAUAUUCUCCUUCCAGCUCCAAAAGGUUCAUCCCAAUACUUGGGAUCUCUGUUAAUUGCCCAUGUAUUCACUAUCACUCUGCUCUUCACAGUAGUUCAGACAUUGCCCACUCAACUAUUAUAGAAGAUGAUUCACUUCCAGCACUGAAGAUAUCCUGUGAAUGUAGAUAAGGGAAUUCCAAGGUCACCACGCUUCUGAACUUUCAACAAAACAUCUACUAGGUCUUUAUCCGCUUCAUCUUCACCAUCUGCUGAAAUCUUGUGUUCUUCAAUAACAUUGCUCAGAAUUUGAUCAAACUGUUGAUGAAUCUUGUCGAGUUUUGGUCGGGUUUUACUAAAGAAGGCAAGUAGUUUCCAUGAAGGGAAGAGAUCCGUAAUGCCAAAUCCUGCUCCAAGAGCUACGCUUUCAUUAACAAGCGAGAUGAAUGCGUCUUGCUCUUUACAUUUUUUACCAAAAGCCGCUCUUGCAGUGAUCCCAUAGAUUAGGGAUGAGAGACUCUUUCCAAGAUUAAUGGAUGAUCCUUCACUAAUGGAGUUGAUGAAUUUUGACACCUCUUCUUCUCUUACCCAUCUAAGUGACUGGACUUGCUUACUACUCAAAAGCUCCAAAGUGCAAAUCUUACGGAGCUGCCUCCAGUAUUCCCCGUAUGAAGAAAACAUGAUGCCUGCACCAUUAUAUCCCAUCACAUACGCAGAAAGAUGGAAAGGCCUAUUUGCAAAAAUGGCAUCAUGUGUUUUCAUCACUUGUUUUGCUGUUUCGGGUGAUGAGGCGACAAAAACAGAAAGCUCUCCAAGCUGGAGAUGCAUCAGAGCUCCGUGUUUAUCUGCCAAGUCUCUUAGGCGAUGGUGUGGAAGUGAUCCAGCAAGAUGAUGAACGCUUCCUAUAACAGGAAGCUUCCAUGGCCCUGGAGGUAACUUUGGUUUAGAUUGCUUCAAUAGUUUCAGAAUCAUCAAUACCAAGAGUGUGAACGCAGAAAGGAUUGGAAACAAGCCGAAGCUCAGCUCCAUCAGGGUAGUUAUGGGAUUUUGAAAAGAAAAUAAGGAAUACGAAACUAACAAGAUCUCAUAGGUGAAGACUGAAGAAUGAUUUAUGUUUAUAUUGUUAUCUUCCUUCUUGACUCUGUAGAUGCUUUAAGUCAAUUCAGAAGAUGCUGUUUCAUAGAUUUUAACCUGCUAUAUUGAGAUUGUGACUGCAAUAAUUUGUCAAUAAAAAACGAUGUUUGAUGUAGUAAACUGCAAUAUAUUAAUAACAAGAACAACACCAUGUGUGGGCCUUAUUAUUACA